AUGAAAUUUUAGUUCUCGAACUGUAAUUUAAUAUAAUAAAGUCUUAUGAUCCAGUUUAGUUGAUUAAAUGUUAAUGAGUCGUUAAUUGUUAGAAGUGAUGUAGUAGUGUUGUAAUUGAGUGAUGCGACAAUUAUUAAGAUGCUAUAUUAAUUUAUAGGGAUUUUACUGAUUUACCACUUACUAUUAUUCAAAAUUUUUAAAUUUAUCCUACUAAGAUUAUCAAAAUACCUUUUUUAAAAUUCAGUCCCAUUCGUAAAUCCUAGAAAAAAAAAUAGAGAUAUUUGAUAGAAUUUUUAAAAUCAAUAAGAAUAUUUUGGUCCUCUAGAAAUAAAUAAGAUAUUUUUAAAAUUUUAAAAAAGCAUAUUAAAUAUUAUUCUAAUUUUUAUAUUAGCGAUGCAUAAAUAUUUAAUCAAGUAAAUUAGGUUGUAGAAUUUGAUUAUAAUAAUUUUAAAAAUUCGAGCUAAAAAAAAAUAAAUUAAA
rnacentral:lncRNA from 1 species